rnacentral:rRNA from 1 species
UGUGUGGCUCGAGUAUAGAUGAGGUAGGCGGAAUGUGUAGUGUAGCGGUGAAAUGCAUAGAUAUUACACAGAACCCCAAUUGCGAAGGCAGCUUACCGAACUAGUACGGACGCUGAAGCACGAAAGCGUGGGUAGCGAACAGGAUUAGAUACCCUGGUAGUCCACGCCGUAAACUAUGCUCACUCGCUGUUGGCAAUAGAUCGUCAGCGGCUAAGGGAAACCGAUAAGUGAGCCACCUGGGGAGUACGAUCGCAAGAUUGAAACUCAAAGGAAUUGACGGGGGCCCGCACAAGCGGAGGAACAUGUGGUUUAAUUCGAUGAUACGCGAGGAACCUUACCUGGGCUUAAAUGUAGAGUGCAUAAAGUGGAAACAUUUUUUUCCUUCGGGACUCUUUACAAGGUGCUGCAUGGUUGUCGUCAGCUCGUGCCGUGAGGUGUCGGGUUAAGUCCCAUAACGAGCGCAACCCCUAUCGUUAGUUACCAGCACGUAUUGGUGGGGACUCUAGCGAAACUGCCGGUGUAAACCGUGAGGAAGGUGGGGAUGACGUCAAAUCAGCACGGCCCUUAUGUCCAGGGCUACACACGUGUUACAAUGGUCGGUACAGUGGGCAGCCACACAGCAAUAUGGAGCUAAUCUCAAAAGCCGAUCUCAGUUCGGAUUGGAGUCUGCAACCCGACUCCAUGAAGGUGGAUUCGCUAGUAAUCGCGCAUCAGCCAUGGCGCGGUGAUACGUUCCCGGGCCUUGUACACACCGCCCGUCAAGCCAUGGAAGUUUGGGGUGCCUGAAGUUCGUAACCGCAAGG